UUUUAAACCAACGUUCUCUUUUUGGUUUGGUUAGCCCUCUCUUUUUCUCAUUAUUUCACACAUGAAGUCUAUUGGGUUUUUGUCACUACAUGCACAAUUGGAUGCUGAUUUUUAAUCAAUACAUAUGCUGAUUUUUAAUGGGUAAAUUGUAUUGAUAUUUGAUAGCCUGAAGAGUGGUGGUUUUUCUGGGACAUAUUAUUGCUGGGACUAAUAAGAAGACUUGGGAGUAGUUGCAUUUUACAUUGAGGUCAUCAAUUUAUGGGUUUUCGAUAUAAUCAAAGUAGGCAGGUCAAUUAAUUGGUUUGAGGCAAAGGUGGUGUUGGGUAUGAGGUGAGAAAAAGCCGUGAAUUUUAUGUAAUGAUUUUUUGAAAUGGUUUAGAUUUUAGAAACCUAUCUUCAUGUAAUGAUUUUUUAAAAUGGGUUAGAUUUAAAUGUGUUUCUAAAUGGUUUUGAUUUCAAAAAUAUGAAAAUGAUAAAUGAAAUUUAUAAAUGCUUUCGCUAAUUCAAUGUGUAGAAACAAUUUCAGUUUCUUAUAGGUGAAGUUUUAAAUCAGAGUAAUAUUAUCAUUUUGAAUUGAUUUAUUACCACUGAGUUUCGUAGCACGUGAUAUCAAAAAAAAUUGUUGUCAGUGCCUUCAGGAACGCGCAGGAACACACAAACUGCCAUAACUUAUGGCCAUUAUAGACAUUAUAGAUUCUACAUCAACAUAACAGGAACACACAAACUGCCAUAACAGGAAUGUUACAAAAUGCCAUUCAUUUUAAAAUAGAGGUGACAAACAAAUAUGAUUAUAAUAAAUUAAAAUUUUGAUUGGAUGGGUUGAAGUCAAUUUUUUUUUUUCUUCUUCCCUUUACCCCUGUGACUC